rnacentral:tRNA from 1 species
AAGGAAACAAUUAUCAUCUUCAGUUUUGAGAUACUUAAGAAAGUUUAUCAUUUUAAAUUGUUUGCAAAUUGUAUUUGCAACAUUUAAAUCUUUUUAAGAUUAAGGGCCUAUAGCUCAGUUGGUUAGAGCACACGCCUGAUAAGCGUGAGGUCGGUGGUUCAAGUCCAUUUAGGCCCA